rnacentral:rRNA from 1 species
CUCUUAGAUGUUCUGGGCUGCACGCGUGUUACAAUCGGGAGUACAACAAGAUUGCAAAUCCUAGUGGAUGAGUGGUUCUUCGAAAUUUUCUGAAGACUGGGAUAGUUGAUUGAAAUUAUUCAACUCAAACGAGGAAUUCCUUGUAAUUGUAAUUCAUUAUAUUGUAAUGAAUACGUCCCUGCCCUUUGUACACACCGCCCGUCGCUCCUACCGAUUGAACGAUCCGGUGAAUUAUUUGGAGUAGCUCUGGAAGUUGCAGAACUUCCUAUGUCACGAAAUUUUGUAAACCUUAUCGUUUAGAGGAAGGAAAAGUCGUAACA